rnacentral:misc_RNA from 1 species
GCAAACUUGGUCAUUUAGAGGAAGUAAAAGUCGUAACAAGGUAACCGUAGGUGAACCUGCGGUUGGAUCAUUACUGAACUGCGGGAAAAGAAUUGAACCCCCUUUGUGUGAACUUUUAUUAUUUCUUUGGUGGCCCACAAACAUGUUGGCGCGUCUUUUUUAGAAAAAACGCGACUUCGGGCCACCUAACCUGUUAUCAAAUUCUUUGUUUGAUGUAUAUUUUAUCUUACAUGAUUGUAUGAGUUGAAUCUCCAAUAAACAAAAACAACUUUUGACAAUGGAUCUCUUGGCUCUUGCAUCGAUGAAGAACGCAGC